AGAGUUUGAUCCUGGCUCAGGACGAACGCUGGCGGCGUGCUUAACACAUGCAAGUCGAACGGAAAGGCCCUGCUUGCAGGGUACUCGAGUGGCGAACGGGUGAGUAACACGUGGGUGAUCUGCCCUGCACUUCGGGAUAAGCCUGGGAAACUGGGUCUAAUACCGGAUAGGAGCCAUUUUUAGUGUGAUGGUUGGAAAGUUUUUUCGGUGUAGGAUGAGCUCGCGGCCUAUCAGCUUGUUGGUGGGGUAAUGGCCUACCAAGGCGGCGACGGGUAGCCGGCCUGAGAGGGUGGACGGCCACAUUGGGACUGAGAUACGGCCCAGACUCCUACGGGAGGCAGCAGUGGGGAAUAUUGCACAAUGGGCGCAAGCCUGAUGCAGCGACGCCGCGUGGGGGAUGACGGCCUUCGGGUUGUAAACUCCUUUCGCUAGGGACGAAGCUUUUUGUGACGGUACCUAGAUAAGAAGCACCGGCUAACUACGUGCCAGCAGCCGCGGUAAUACGUAGGGUGCGAGCGUUGUCCGGAAUUACUGGGCGUAAAGGGCUCGUAGGUGGUUUGUCGCGUCGUCUGUGAAAUUCCGGGGCUUAACUCCGGGCGUGCAGGCGAUACGGGCAUAACUUGAGUACUGUAGGGGUAACUGGAAUUCCUGGUGUAGCGGUGAAAUGCGCAGAUAUCAGGAGGAACACCGAUGGCGAAGGCAGGUUACUGGGCAGUUACUGACGCUGAGGAGCGAAAGCAUGGGUAGCGAACAGGAUUAGAUACCCUGGUAGUCCAUGCCGUAAACGGUGGGCGCUAGGUGUGAGGGUCUUUUCACGACUUUCGUGCCGUAGCUAACGCAUUAAGCGCCCCGCCUGGGGAGUACGGCCGCAAGGCUAAAACUCAAAGGAAUUGA
rnacentral:rRNA from 1 species